rnacentral:rRNA from 1 species
AUACAUGCAAGUCGAACGCGCAGCGAAAGGUGCUUGCACCUUUCAAGCGAGUGGCGAACGGGUGAGUAACACGUGGAUAACCUGCCUCAAGGCUGGGGAUAACAUUUGGAAACAGAUGCUAAUACCGAAUAAAACUUAGUAUCGCAUGAUACAAAGUUAAAAGGCGCUACGGCGUCACCUAGAGAUGGAUCCGCGGUGCAUUAGUUAGUUGGUGGGGUAAAGGCUUACCAAGACGAUGAUGCAUAGCCGAGUUGAGAGACUGAUCGGCCACAUUGGGACUGAGACACGGCCCAAACUCCUACGGGAGGCUGCAGUAGGGAAUCUUCCACAAUGGGCGCAAGCCUGAUGGAGCAACGCCGCGUGUGUGAUGAAGGCUUUCGGGUCGUAAAGCACUGUUGUAUGGGAAGAAAUGCUAAAAUAGGGAAUGAUUUUAGUUUGACGGUACCAUACCAGAAAGGGACGGCUAAAUACGUGCCAGCAGCCGCGGUAAUACGUAUGUCCCGAGCGUUAUCCGGAUUUAUUGGGCGUAAAGCGAGCGCAGACGGUUGAUUAAGUCUGAUGUGAAAGCCCGGAGCUCAACUCCGGAAUGGCAUUGGAAACUGGUUAACUUGAGUGUUGUAGAGGUAAGUGGAACUCCAUGUGUAGCGGUGGAAUGCGUAGAUAUAUGGAAGAACACCAGUGGCGAAGGCGGCUUACUGGACAACAACUGACGUUGAGGCUCGAAAGUGUGGGUAGCAAACAGGAUUAGAUACCCUGGUAGUCCACACCGUAAACGAUGAAUACUAGGUGUUAGGAGGUUUCCGCCUCUUAGUGCCGAAGCUAACGCAUUAAGUAUUCCGCCUGGGGAGUACGACCGCAAGGUUGAAACUCAAAGGAAUUGACGGGGACCCGCACAAGCGGUGGAGCAUGUGGUUUAAUUCGAAGCAACGCGAAGAACCUUACCAGGUCUUGACAUCCUUUGAAGCUUUUAGAGAUAGAAGUGUUCUCUUCGGAGACAAAGUGACAGGUGGUGCAUGGUCGUCGUCAGCUCGUGUCGUGAGAUGUUGGGUUAAGUCCCGCAACGAGCGCAACCCUUAUUGUUAGUUGCCAGCAUUCAGUUGGGCACUCUAGCGAGACUGCCGGUGACAAACCGGAGGAAGGCGGGGACGACGUCAGAUCAUCAUGCCCCUUAUGACCUGGGCUACACACGUGCUACAAUGGCGUAUACAACGAGUUGCCAACCUGCGAAGGUGAGCUAAUCUCUUAAAGUACGUCUCAGUUCGGACUGCAGUCUGCAACUCGACUGCACGAAGUCGGAAUCGCUAGUAAUCGCGGAUCAGCACGCCGCGGUGAAUACGUUCCCGGGUCUUGUACACACCGCCCGUCACACCAUGGGAGUUUGUAAUGCCCAAAGCCGGUGGCCUAACCUUCGGG